rnacentral:misc_RNA from 1 species
AUUAUUAUUAUUAUUAUUAUUAAAGAGUAAGCUUGUUAGUGUUAAAAUAUAUUUAAUUUAAAAAAAAUGAGGGGAGACAGGCUCCAGUUUUAUACCCCUAAAUCUAGAUUCAUGAAUUAAAAGUUACAGUAUACUUAAUAAAAAAAAAAAAAUUGGAAAGAGGGAGGGUUUGUGGCUGAUCACCACCACUACUGCUUCCGUCUUGCCUUCACAACUAACAUCAUGUGCCAUUGCUGCCGUAGUGCUAUCGCCUCCAUCAGUAUUGCUAUGAUUAACUGAAUUUGAGGCAAUCUGAUACAAGCAAUAGAACUUUGUAGGUUCUAGUGUAUAGCACAGUAUACCUUCACCAUUUGAUUUCAAGUUGUUGAACCAUGCAUGAUUACUUCUCUUUCUUAUGCGAAUACCUGUAAACUGAACCACUGAAGGUGAAACAUCAUGUUGCAACUUGGUUUGCAGCUAAGCAUAUGCAUUGAGUAGCGACUAGGUGGCAAAAACUUUUCAAUUAGUUGUUUGGUUCAUAUUUUCAUUGGCAAAUUAUGAGACACCAUUGUAUGAUCAUUCAUCAACAGAUGUUGUUUCCCAUAUUGGGUAAACAUACAAGCCUCCAGCAAUAUAAGUGGGAAUAGUGACACUUGAAAUAAUAUUGUUUUGUUAAGGAAGAGUUUGAAAAGCAGGUUCACGAAGACCAUAAAUAUCUACUGGAGGACAGCAACUAAAGCAAUAGUAUAUAUAUAUAACAUAACAUGACUCAAGGAUGCCUGAAGCUGGCAUACAAAUUUGUCAGAGUUCAUUGACAAGUAAUUUUAGUUUCUUAUCAAUUAAUUAUACAAUGCUGAAACUGCAACAUCUCUUUUCUUGAUUGUCCUUAGGGUAUUGUUUAUGGUGCCUUCUCUUCCAAUUUUUAUCAUUUAUCUGUCCUGUUGCAUUCAUGCUUUGAUUAAUUCGCCUCAUAAUUCUUUAGUAAUUUGGUUCAUGAAACUAAUAGAGUUCUAGCUGGAUGAUGAAUUGCUUUAGGUUUUCUGGCUCUGAUAUUAUAUUUUCUGGACUCAUGAAAUAUUUUUAGUAGCAGGUCCAGCACAUGAUGGUUCCUAUG